GGAUUCCUGGAGAAGCUGCAGUGUGGGGAUGCUCUAGACCGAGUACUGCCCUCGGUGUCUUUUCACCUCCUCCUCCUGCAGCGGCGCCGGCGGCGGCAGCGGCAGCAGCACUUAGCAGCGGCAACUUGAGGCUGCACCCCGGGCCAGCCCCCCAGGGUGGUGCUCAACUGAGACGGGGGCUCAGCGCCCCAAGGGGUGUGUGCAGGGUGAGGGUGGCCCGCUGGGACCAGCUGGUGGCCCUGAGAAACCUCCCACACACCCACACCCACACACCCCUUUUGUGUUGCAGGCUGCCCCUCCAAGAGCAGAGGCAGCAAGAGGACGCGUGUGUCUUGCACAGAUCCACGCGGGGAGAGCAGUGGGGCCGGAGACCGGCACCACCUUCUGGUCCUCCAGGGAAAACAGUAAAACGAGAACCAGCAAGAGCUUGAGGGACAAACGCCCGGAUUGAGAUUGGAAGACUGUUCAUUUGCCUGUUGCUUCGGUCCUCGAAAUUGCGUUACAACUGCCUAAUUCAGAGAAAAAGAAUCUGAAAGAACAAAAUAGCCCAGAAUUCCUAACAGAACAAUUCACCUGAACUUAAAAUGGUGAGCGAGAGUCAUCACGAGGCGCUGGCCGCCCCACCAGUCACGACCGUUGCGACAGUUCUCCCACAUAACGCCACAGAGCCGGCCGGUCCCGGGGAAGGAAAGGAAGAUGCCUUUUCUAAGCUGAAGGAGAAGUUUAUGAAUGAGCUGCAUAAAA